UCCGUAGGUGGAUAAUUAAGUCAGAGGUGAAAUCCUGCAGCUCAACUGUAGAAUUGCCUUUGAUACUGGUUAUCUUGAGUCAUUAUGAAGUGGUCAGAAUGUGUAGUGUAGCGGUGAAAUGCAUAGAUAUUACACAGAAUACCGAUUGCGAAGGCAGAUCACUAAUAAUGUACUGACACUGAGGGACGAAAGCGUGGGGAGCGAACAGGAUUAGAUACCCUGGUAGUCC
rnacentral:rRNA from 1 species